rnacentral:snRNA from 1 species
ACUGCGCGCUAACCUAGA